GCACUGAAAAAAUUCUGGUGGAGCGCUAUAGAUUUUUUUUUUGUCAGUUUCUUGUAUUUGGACUGAUUGGAUGCACGUGCUGAUGCAAGGCAUGCGCUAAGGCAAGACAUGUGGAAGGCACGUGAUGUUUGGAGGGUAUAAAUAGGACUCCAAGGAGUGACAGAGACAGGGCCUGACUUGCUGGCAGAGCUAGCUGUGCAACUCUUGUGGGUCUCCUGACUUCACUGAUCUUUUCUUUCCUGAGAGAACAGCUGAGAACUUCUCCAGGGCUGCUGGUGUGUCCUCGAGGUGUUUGCAAGUGGAUAGCUACGUCUGCCUGCGGACCUGUAAAUUGAACUACUGUUUUUCAGAGAACACAGAUGGGAGUUGCUCCAAAGAGUCUUUCUAAGCAGGUUGUGUGGCUACAUCCAGGUCACUGUCAGUUGGAAAGCCAUUGAGUUCUUGGAACUGUAUUCUCUGUAGGAUGAGAGACCGGAUCUUUCUGUGUAACUGUGACUGACCUCGAACUUGCUAUGAUGCUAUGAAGACAAGGCUCAUACAGAUCUACCUGCCUCGGACUGCCCGAGUACUGGGAUUAAAGUGUGCAACACAUCUGGCUUGGAUUUACACUAGGACAUUGUGAAACCACAGCACUAACUAUUAUCUUACAUAAACUUAUGGUACAUGAUUAAGGGGAUAAAACCUGAGAAAUAUUGACCUUGAUUUCCGAAAUAACUAAUAAGCCUUAACACAGUGAAUAGUGAACUAUUUUUCAAGUAGACUCAGUUGUUUCAACAUUAACGAUGAACUUUCAUGCUGCCGAAUGGAUAGGAUGACUUGUUGUUGCUAUUGUUGUUUUUAUAUGAAAGAGACAAAUAUGACACAGUGGUCCCAGAUGUUGAUUUCUUUUUAUCAUCCGUAUUUCCAUGUAUUUAUGUGUAUUGAUAAUUCAAUAGAAUCUGAUUCAGUAUUUGGCUUCAUUUUAGAAAGUGACUGCUAUGUACUUUAAAUAGUUUUACUUUAAACGUAUAUAUACUGCUUUAAAAAAACAGCUUCUCAAUUAAUGUUGGCUAAGAACUUCCCUUAAAACUUUGAACCAAAUAAAAAUAAUUGUGUUUAUGAGUUGGGCGUGAAUGUUGACAGUACAGAUUCAACCAGGGGCUGAAGACUUGGUUGUCGUAAGAGCUCUGGAAUUGGCCCAUUAAAGGAAUUUUGUAGCAUCUCAUCGAGAAACAGCCCUGGGUUCUCCUGUGAGUCAUCCUACUUCCGUUUCUUCUGUUUCCAAAGGCUCCUCCUUCAUUCUUAGGAGGCUCGUAAGAGUUUUAUGUUCAUAAGCUGGAUUUCACUCAAAGGCUCUGACAACAUGACCUUCAUUCCGUAGUGGUGCUGAAUCGAGCACGGGCAGGCUGUGCAGGCCUGGGGUUCCGCAGGAACCUUUUGAAGGAGCUGGCCUCAGAACUGGAGGUUCCCAUUUGCAAAUGAAGUCAUUGCAGUAGAUCACAGCGUGACAUAUCUCAUGGAUCAAAACUGACAGACUUUUAUACAAAACCAAAUGGGUAGACUUUCCCUGUUUGCAGUGAUGUAUGCAGGGGUGCCACCAUUUCCUUCGGGGACACCGUGCUGAAAUGUAGUACAAAUGCUCACCCUAAGGAAACAACAAUAGAAGUUAGAGUUUUAAGUAUUGAGCAAUGUUGGAUAUAGGCCAUCUUGACAUUCUUCUGUAUCUGCUGUAAGAGUAACAUUUGAUAGCAGCCAUGAGAUAGCCAUGCUUAUAAAACCACUUUUGCAUGUUUUUGUAUAUUUGUGUGUGUAUAUGUAUGUGU